GAUGGCAAAGAAAAUAGAUGAGAAAGAAAAAGAUGAUGAAUAAUAAAAUAUAUGAGAAAUAAAAAAGAUAAAAAGGAAAAUAGAUAAAAAAAAUGAUAAAAAAAUAAAUGAGAAAAAUGAUGAAGGAAAUAUAUUAGAAAAGAAAAGAUAAUGAAUAAAAUAGAUAAAAAAGAAAAAUAUGAUGAAGAAAAUGAAAGAAGAGAAGAAAGAGAGAAAAAAUGAGUUGUGGUAAAAGAAAACGAGUAAUAGUUUAUAUAAGUGAAUUAGUAAUCAAUUAUCAGUUGCUAAUUUCUUUUAAAAAUUGUACAGAAAUUUUUUAAAGGAAAAUUUUGUAUUUAAUUCGUAAUUGGUUAUAAAAUCAAUUACUAAUAACAACCCAUUUUAAUCGGUUGCAGAAUUUGGUUACUAUUGCAAUUCAAAAAAAAAAACAAAAAAUAGGUGAGAAUUUUUAGGGAGAAAAAAUCGUUCACGUCCUAUUAG
rnacentral:misc_RNA from 1 species